CCUCUUCCUCUUCCUCUCUCUCUUUUAUCGUACUCAGCUCCGUCGCUCCCCUCUGCCUCUUCAUCUCCGAUUCUUUCGUUUCUCAAUAUCAGCUCCCUCAUCUCUCUAAGUUCAUUCACCCAUCUGCCUCUUCAUCUCCCUCAAUUAAUCGUUCUAACAUUUGCUGCGCCACCCCCUGCCUUUUCAUCUCUGAUUCCCUAGCAAGAUCCCUCAUUUAAUCGUUCCCUCCUAUGACGCUCCACCUCCCCGGCCCCUUCGCAGUUUUAAUAACUCCUAAUCAGAUUUGAUUCGCCUCUUUCUCUCACUAAAACCCUAUUUCUCUCUCUCCCCAGCUCUUGAAGAAGCGGUGGAAAUGAAAAUGGGGGGCCCACUUGGGGCGAUCAUAGAGAGAUAUCCAAGCAGCGAUGGAGACGCGCAAAUGGGGGUUGGGAUUAUAAGGCACAAUCGAAAGUGUAGGGAUUUGGUUUAUCUUGUUAUUUUCGUAGCUUUUUUGUUGGCCAUGAUUGUGAAUUCGAGCUUUGGGCUCAAUCAAGGCAACCCAUUAAGGUAAUCUCUUGCAAUCACUUUGUUUUGGAAUUUAUUGGGAUCUAUAUAUAAAAAAGUAUAUAUUCUAAAUCAUCUAUUAGUGCAAAUUUAGAGACUAAUGGACAUUCAAUAUCAGUAUGCAUCCCCUGGUAAUUUCACAUUUGAAGAAAAUAGAAAGAGCACUCAGCUUCCCCUAGAGAAUCAUCCUGAGAGGAGUCCAAUCACAUAUACUGCACCGAGUGAGAGUCGAGCCCUGGAAUAUCCUUGUAGCAAACGGGUCUUUUAAAAAAAAUAAUUGUUUUUUUAAAAAAACUGGCCAUUUGUAAUUUUGGAGCUUUUAUUUUUGUUGGAAAUGUAGUUAUAGGGAAAUUUUGUAUCCAUGCAUUUUCAUUUUGAACCGUGCUUAAAGUUGUAAUCUUGAAGAUUGAAGACCUUGAAACAGUGAAUUUUAUCGAGUUGUGGAGGUAUAUUUUCAUUUACGUUUAUGAGCCUCACAAUCUUGUUGAUGAUCGCGUUUGAAGUCCACGAAUUCUGCGGCGACGGAAUCGGCAGCCAUUUGUGGUGGCGAUGGAAGAAGUACUUAUUCACUCGUAAUCACUCUACAAUCGUUGCCUUUGCAAUUGGCAAAAGGUACGUUGCGGGGAAUGAGUUGCAUAUCGUUUGAGCGCAUACUGAUAGCCAUUGCCUUAAAGUGGAGCCAUCGCCCAAGGUGAUAACUGGGUUUGCAGAUCUCUCUGCUGAUUUAGUGUAGGCAGCAGUGGCUCAUUGCCAGUUGAUUCUUGUAUCAAAGUUCAUACAGAAGGUGAAACAAGACUUGGAUGGAGAUGGAGUUAAAGAACAAUUGCAAAUCCUCUGCAACAUUUAUGCUUUCUCCCUGCUUCACAAGCAUCUAGGGGAUUUUCUCUCAACGAGUUGCAUCAACCCCAAGCAAGCUGCCCUAGCCAAUGAGCAACUCCGUGCUUUAUAUUCUCAUGUCCGGUUUGCUACUUACCGCAAUAUUUUUACAUUUACUCAAUUCAAUAAUUGUCUGGUUGGUUUAAUGGUGAACCAGUCGCAGGAGUGAUAUGUUGGAACCAAAAUGGUAUCUUCAAGUUGUUUGGUAAAUUUGAAAUGUAAAUUUCAUUUUAAAAUAAUACUAAUUUUAAUUGUACCGCAACUUCUGACAACUUUCACACUCUUACUCCUGCAUUUCAAUCAUGAGCCCAUCUCACAUCUUCUUAGAAGAUACUUUAGUCUUGCCGUAGUACCAAAAUAGUAUAACAGCUGUACUACAAUUAAAUGAGUUUAUAUUUGAGCUAAAAUGUUGAAUCUUUUGGAUUUCCGAUGCUAUCCUUUACCGUGUUUCCUCAAGUUUUAUUUGGCCUGGGUAUCCUGUGUUAGACCCUAGAGGGGGGUGAUUAGGGUCUUAUGCUAAUCUAAUCCGAUUAAAUGCUAAUUAAAAACU